UGGGGAAUUUUCCGCAAUGGGCGAAAGCCUGAUCCAGCCAUGCCGCGUGGAUGAAGAAGGCCCUAGGGUUGUAAAAUCCUUUCGCUAGGGCAGAUAAUGACGGUACCUAGUAAAGAAGCCCCGGCUAAAUUCGUGCCAGCAGCCGCGGUAAUACGAAAGGGGCUAGCGUUGUUCGGAAUUACUGGGCGUAAAGCGCGCGUAGGCGGCCUGCCAAGUUAGGGGUGAAAUCCCGGAGCUCAACUCCGGAACUGCCUCUAAAACUGGUAAGCUUGAGGAUGUGAGAGGUGAGUGGAAUUCCGAGUGUAGAGGUGAAAUUCGUAGAUAUUCGGAAGAACACCAGUGGCGAAGGCGACUCACUGGCACAUUUCUGACGCUGAGGCGCGAAAGCGUGGGGAGCAAACAGGAUUAGAUACCCCCGUAGUCC
rnacentral:rRNA from 1 species